CUAGUGUAGGUCUAGAAAAAAAUGGAAACUUAAAAAUAUGAAUUUCCUGUGAAAGUAAACUCUCGCUAGAAGAAUGACAAACUUAAUACUGUAUUUGGACUGAGGGAAAUGAUGAGACAGGAAAGGAUAGGAUAGGAUGUUACCCUCCUUUCACUUGUUUGGACAUGAAAAGAGUAAUUAGCAAAGUAAAGAGACCGGUUUUGCACAUCUUUCCCUUUCACUUAACACUCUAAUUUUUUCAUGCUUUCAGACUAGGAUAAAAGAGAGGAAAUGAAAAGAUUUAACAAUUUCAAUUUUGUCCUUAUUACCUAACUUGUCAUUCUAUUGAUAAAAGUUACCAUUGAAUAUUUUUUUAUAGCUAAUCAUUCCUUUUCCUUUAUAAAUCGACAAUUCUUUCCUCUCCAUUACUGUUCAAAUUUCAGUUACCCAAACAGGGAAACCCUUUUCUUUUCCUCUCUUUAAUAAUCACUCUUUUGUUUUCCUUUCCCUUCCAUUCUUUUUUUGAGAUAGAAAGUAGAAAAAUAUAUUAGCGUAAGCAUCAAGGGGGUGUCACCCAUGUACAAAAGAUUUACAAAUCUAAGACUUUCCCUUCCGUUCUUUUGCUGCUUUUUACCUAAUGCUGCUCAUUAUUACAAAUUAAAAAUGACAUCAUCCAUAAAUACAUGAAACAAGAUCUGUUCUUUUGGCCCUCUAUCAAGUAUCAAUAAAAGAGUUAAGGAAAUUAGAUAUAUAUUAAAAUAAAAUAAAAUGAGUAGGUACAUACUAGAUUCCUAUUGGACUGACAGAAAUUUCCAAAUUGCCAAACAGCUAUUUGUAUCCAAGUAAUGGUGAUAUAUACAAGUGCAAGUAAUAAUUACCCGAUUCUAGCUGGAUGUUUCUUGAAGUAGGCCUCACAUAUACUGGAAAGAUAAUGAGAAGCAUAUGUCAGUAGUAAAGCUUUUAUGAGGCAGGACAAAAAUGUUGAGAAAUCACAGAAGCACAUAACAAAUUAAAGCUACUCUCAUGUUAAAAUAGUGGUUACAUCUGCCAAUGAACCACUUAUAUUGAGAACACAUUUUUUUAAGAAAAAAAACCACAUAAAAAGGGAAAAAAGUAGCUUGACUCUUCUACAUAUAAAAUCAAAACUACUAGAUAGUUUUACAGAGUACCUUAUAGAUUACAUCAUGGAGUUUUUCUAAUGCAGAUUUCUCUCUAAUGCAUUUUUCUUUGAUAAUAGGUAUUCACAAAACUUAGUUUCUAAUGUCCUUGCACAACAGCUUUAUUUCCUCAAGAUUAUUAUUCCGUGGAAGAUAAAGCAUAAAUCUUACUAGAAGUUGGUCCUAACCAAAAUGAGCAAAC
rnacentral:lncRNA from 1 species